CAAUGGCCACCAGGAGAAUAAAAGCAGGAGCUCAGGGCACUCAGCUCCAAAGCGAGUUCCUUCCUCACUGCCACACCGCAGUCACCAGCCCACCGCCGCCGCUGCACCAUGAAGCUGCUGACAGUCCUCAUGCUGAUCGCCCUGCCCCUCUCCUGCUUUGCAGGUUCUGGCUGCCCGCUCCUUGAGAAAAUGAUAGAGGAGUCAGUGUCUUCUGAAGUGGGUGUUGAUCAAUUCGUUGAGGAUUUUCAAGAGUUCGUAGAUGAUGAAGACACUGCAAACGCACUAAAGGAAAUGAAGCAAUCUUUUCUUGACCAGGAUUAUAAAACUCUGGAAAACACCCAAGUGGUUCUGCAAACAAUAUAUAACAGUGUCUGGUGUGCUGAAUAUUAAAUUUCCACAACCGUUCGGCUCAGAGGACUAUAGAAAAUGAUCACAACGGAGUGCCUAUUGGUAGAAACCACAACUUAUGUUUCUUUUUUUUGUCUUUUGAUCUGAAAACGCCAAGACAAUUGUUGAAACCUCAAAUACACUGUCAUUUCAAUAAAGUAUCUGCAAAUCUAA